rnacentral:rRNA from 1 species
CCUACGGGGGGCAGCAGUGGGGAAUAUUGCACAAUGGGGGAAACCCUGAUGCAGCGACGCCGCGUGAGUGAAGAAGUAUUUCGGUAUGUAAAGCUCUAUCAGCAGGGAAGAAAAAAGACGGUACCUGACUAAGAAGCCCCGGCUAACUACGUGCCAGCAGCCGCGGUACUACGUAGGGGGCAAGCGUUCUCCGGAUUUACUGGGUGUAAAGGGAGCGUAGACGGCGCGGCAAGUCUGAAGUGAAAGGCAGGGGCUUAACCCACGAACUGCUUUUGAAACUGGCAUGCUCGAGUGCUGGAGAGGUAAGUGGAAUGACUGGUGUAGCGGUGAAAUGCGUAGAUAUUAGGAGGAACACCAGUGGCGAAGGCGGGUUACUGGA